rnacentral:rRNA from 1 species
CCCUGAUCGUAUCGAAGUUCUAACCUGGCGCCGUGAUCCGGUGCGGGGACCGUGUCAGGCGGGCAGUUUGACUGGGGCGGUCGCCUCCCAAAGCGUAACGGAGGCGCCCAAAGGUUCCCUCAGAAUGGUUGGAAAUCAUUCGGAGCGUGUAAAGGCAGAAGGGAGCUUGACUGCGAGACUGACAAGUCGAGCAGGGACGAAAGUCGGGCUUAGUGAUCCGGUGGUACCGAAUGGAAGGGCCAUCGCUCAACGGAUAAAAGCUACCCUGGGGAUAACAGGCUUAUCUCCCCCAAGAGUCCACAUCGACGGGGAGGUUUGGCACCUCGAUGUCGGCUCAUCGCAUCCUGGGGCUGAAGUAGGUCCCAAGGGUUGGGCUGUUCGCCCAUUAAAGCGGUACGCGAGCUGGGUUCAGAACGUCGUGAGACAGUUCGGUCCCUAUCUGUCGCGGGCGCAGGAAAUUUGAGAGGAGCUGUCCUUAGUACGAGAGGACCGGGAUGGACGUACCGCUGGUGUACCAGUUGUUCCGCCAGGAGCACCGCUGGGUAGCCAAGUACGGAAGGGAUAAGCGCUGAAAGCAUCUAAGCGCGAAGCCUCCCUCAAGAUGAGAUUUCCCACUGUAAAGGUAAGACCCCUGGAAGAUGACCAGGUUGAUAGGUUCGAGGUGGAAGCGCGGCAACGCGUGAAGCUGACGAAUACUAAUCGGUCGAGGGCUUAUCCUAAAUUU